GGAAAUAAUGGAAUGGGCCCGAGUGAACCGACCCUGAAGGCCCUUGGAUUUGUUCCGGUUUGGGAUUGAUCGAGAGGAAGUGGAAUUGGCGCGCGCAUUAUUUCCAUUUUGCCGCUUUUUUCUUUCUCUCUUCUUCACAGUUACGGGCAGAGUUGUCAUUCGCCGUCACUGACUCACUGAUUCACGUUUUCACUCCUUUUACGCCACUAGUUAUAGAGGUGAGAAAAGAAAGAACGGUGACUAGCAAGUAGCAAUAAACCUAUCUAUGAGUUGGUGGGAAGGUGUUCAGGAAUCCCGGGUUCUUGUUGCCCCUGAUCUUGGUGCAAAUGGAAAUGCUUUGGGACGUAUGAUAUUGCUCCGAAAUCCCAAAUCCGGAAAUGCAACGCAAUAUCUCUUUGUGAAUGGGGUGCUUCAAGAAUUUCAAUGGUUUAAGAACUUGUACGGAUCUUGGUUUUUGGGAGAUUAUACAAGUGAAGAUGGUCGGAUGUAUUUAUCCACACCUGUUGAUCCCGUUUUCAUCAUGUUGCCCUUAUUCGAGAAAGCAAGGAUGAAGAAAGGCGAUGAUCUUGGAAAAUUCAGGCAAUUGGACGAGAUCUUGUUUAUUGAUGGGUAUCCAGGCUAUCAGCAGUUAAUGUCCCUUGUUGAGAACUGUAUGCAAGUAGUUUGUGAAGUCAAAGAAGUUGGAUCCUUAAAAUUCUUUAGACUCGAUGAUGUCAAGGUUCUGCGUUGGUUGUGCUAUAAGGUUUGUCAGCUAAAACAGACACUACCGAAGUUGGAUAAAAACUAUGCUGCUCAAUCAGAGAAAGACACGGUGGUUGAUGCAGUUUCUAUAUUAGCAGAGUAUUUAAAUGAAGAGCACUGGUUGCAGCCUUUGUGUAACCAUCUUAAGUUAAACAUACUUGAGGUUACAGGAAAAGCACAAGCAAAUGCUGAGGAAAGUAAUUUGGGUUUGUAUAAUAAUGCACCACAGGAACAGAGUGAUGAUAAGAAGCCUACAAUUGUGAAGAAGGGUAGACAAGCAAAGAAGAUGAAAGUGGAGACAGAAUCACAUAACAUCAAAGAUAUGUUUACCAGGGCAUCCCGAAGGAGAAACUAAACCAUUCCAUUGAAAUUGGUGAAAAAUUGAAAAUGGUCAUUGUCGUGUAGUAUCAUUUUCUAGACACAAGAGUUGUGGAUAAGCACCGAGUCAUAUCCUGCAGCAUAUGUUAUCUACCUACCAUUAAAUAAGCCCUCGUCUCGUGGCAUAUCUCAAAUUCGAGUCAAAGAAUGCCUCCUUCCAUUCGUUUUACAUUGAUUGAAAAACAGGUGACAAUUAGAAAGGGAGCGUACUUAGUCCAAUGAAUUUUAAUUAUCUGGUAGUUAUUUUGAAAAAGUCGUUACAAAGUGGCUUUAUGCGGUAAACUGAUGAGUUUUAAUUGGUGUA